GAUGAACGUUGGCGGUGUGCCUAAUACAUGCAAGUCGAACGGAGUCAGUAGCAAUAUUGGCUCAGUGGCGAACGGGUGAGUAACGCGUUGGUGAUCUGCCUUGAAGUGUGGAAUAACGUUUCGAAAGAGACGCUAAUACCGCAUGUGCUCUCGAUUUUUAGAAAGUUGAGAGUAAAGGAUUUAUUCGCUUCAAGAGGAGCCUGCGUCCCAUCAGCUGGUUGGUAGGGUAACGGCCUACCAAGGCUAUGACGGGUAGGGGACCUGAGAGGGUGGCCCCCCACAAUGGAACUGAAACACGGUCCAUACACCUACGGGUGGCAGCAGUAGGGAAUAUUAGAAAUGGACGAAAGUCUGAUCUAGCAACACCGCGUGUGCGAAGAAGGCCUUCGGGUCGUAAAGCACUUUUUGGAAGGAAUAGGAAGGAAUGUACUUCCAGAAUAAGUCUCGGCUAAACUACGUGCCAACAGCCGCGGUAAAACGUAGCGUG
rnacentral:rRNA from 1 species